AGGGAAUCUUCGGCAAUGGACGGAAGUCUGACCGAGCAACGCCGCGUGAGUGAAGAAGGUUUUCGGACCGUAAAGCUCUGUUGUAAGAGAAGAACGAGUGUGAGAGUGGAAAGUUCACACUGUGACGGUAUCUUACCAGAAAGGGACGGCUAACUACGUGCCAGCAGCCGCGGUAAUACGUAGGUCCCGAGCGUUGUCCGGAUUUAUUGGGCGUAAAGCGAGCGCAGGCGGUUAGAUAAGUCUGAAGUUAAAGGCUGUGGCUUAACCAUAGUACGCUUUGGAAACUGUUUAACUUGAGUGCAAGAGGGGAGAGUGGAAUUCCAUGUGUAGCGGUGAAAUGCGUAGAUAUAUGGAGGAACACCGGUGGCGAAAGCGGCUCUCUGGCUUGUAACUGACGCUGAGGCUCGAAAGCGUGGGGAGCAAACAGGAUUAGAUACCCUGGUAGUCCACGCCGUAAACGAUGAGUGCUAGGUGUUAGACCCUUUCCGGGGUUUAGUGCCGUAGCUAACGCAUUAAGCACUCCGCCUGGGGAGUACGACCGCAAGGUUG
rnacentral:rRNA from 1 species